ACUCUACUCAGCAGGGAUUAGGCACACAACCACACAACCACACACACAAACACACACACACACUAACACAAGCCAAAUACCCUCUAUCCUAAGCCUCACUGAGAGGUUGUAGCGAUAGAAGCAGCGGGAGAGCGGGGACUGUUUUUUUUAUAAAAGUACCGUUUAUAAAGAAAAAGAGAGAGCGAGCAGUGGAACCUUGUUCUACAGAGGCGAUGUGAUCGAUCCUCGAGAUCGUGGUAAAAGGAAGGAAAAGAAAUCCUGGGAAUACCUAGGAACCCAGGGACUGAGGAUGUUGUCAUCACUGUUCACUGUGCUGCGGACCUUCACUGAACUGUAAGAA
rnacentral:lncRNA from 1 species